rnacentral:misc_RNA from 1 species
GCGCAUUUUGAGCCGAGCGCGCAGCUAGUGCUAUCAGUAGAUGCCGGGCCGCAUGGACUCGGGGCUGUCCUAUCUCAACGGGGCAGCGAUGGCGGCGAGCGACCAUUAGCGUACGCCUCGCGGUCGCUUUCGAUUUCAAAAUUAGUGUGGAGGAAUGAUGUGUAUGUGCAUCUCGCUCACUCAUGUGUAGCACCGCAUUGUGUGAAGGUGUCAUUACGCACGGCAGUAUUAAACUAGUAUCCAUCGAAA